rnacentral:rRNA from 1 species
AUUGAACGCUGGCGGCAGGCCUAACACAUGCAAGUCGAGCGGAUGAAGAGAGCUUGCUCUCUGAUUCAGCGGCGGACGGGUGAGUAAUGCCUAGGAAUCUGCCUGGUAGUGGGGGACAACGUUUCGAAAGGAACGCUAAUACCGCAUACGUCCUACGGGAGAAAGCAGGGGACCUUCGGGCCUUGCGCUAUCAGAUGAGCCUAGGUCGGAUUAGCUAGUAGGUGGGGUAAAGGCUCACCUAGGCGACGAUCUGUAACUGGUCUGAGAGGAUGAUCAGUCACACUGGAACUGAGACACGGUCCAGACUCCUACGGGAGGCAGCAGUGGGGAAUAUUGGACAAUGGGCGAAAGCCUGAUCCAGCCAUGCCGCGUGUGUGAAGAAGGUCUUCGGAUUGUAAAGCACUUUAAGUUGGGAGGAAGGGCAGUAAGCUAAUACCUUGCUGUUUUGACGUUACCAACAGAAUAAGCACCGGCUAACUUCGUGCCAGCAGCCGCGGUAAAAC